GCGAGUGGCGAACGGGUGAGUAACAUAUCGGAACGUGCCCUGGAGUGGGGGAUAACUAGUCGAAAGACUAGCUAAUACCGCAUACGAUCUACGGAUGAAAGUGGGGGAUCGCAAGACCUCAUGCUCGUGGAGCGGCCGAUAUCUGAUUAGCUAGUUGGUGGGGUAAAGGCCUACCAAGGCAUCGAUCAGUAGCUGGUCUGAGAGGACGACCAGCCACACUGGGACUGAGACACGGCCCAGACUCCUACGGGAGGCAGCAGUGGGGAAUUUUGGACAAUGGGCGCAAGCCUGAUCCAGCAAUGCCGCGUGAGUGAAGAAGGCCUUCGGGUUGUAAAGCUCUUUUGUCAGGGAAGAAACGGUGGGGGCUAAUACCUUCUGCUAAUGACGGUACCUGAAGAAUAAGCACCGGCUAACUACGUGCCAGCAG
rnacentral:rRNA from 1 species